UUCUCUCUCUGUCCCUCCCCUGCCCACGCUGUGUCUCUCUUUGUCUCUCAAAAAAUAAAACAUUAAAAAAAAUUUAAGAUGCAGUUUAGAAGUGACCUGAUGGUGAAACCUACUCCCGCGUAGAGUUAGUUCCUGCUUUUGUAGUGCUCCCCUUAUUUGAUAUAUGUAUGUUUUUAUUAUAACAUUUAUCAGUAAUUUUUAUUUUAUGUCUCUCACCCUCCAUCUAGAGUGUGAGGUACUUAAGGGCAUGUAGGUGUUAUAAAAGCCUGGAACAUAAUAGAACCCUGACUGAUACACUAUUUAAUAAGUGUUUGCUGAAUGAGUGAAUGAAUUCUCACCUUUACAAUUCUGAGAGUAAAGCACAUUUAGUUCCAGAGUAACAAGAAGAAACUUGACCCUCUCAGGAGCAUCUCUAUUCUUUCUCUCUUGUACUAGAACAAGGCCCUUAAACACGAGAUUGGGGGUAGUAGUACCGUGAGACUAAAUUUAACACAACACUACAGGGAGUGCAGAUUCUUCCCGAGUCAUAUUUGUCAUCUCUCUCCUUUCCUGUCUGUUCCAAUUGCCACCAAUCCAGUUCACCCCAUCCGCCUCUACUAGCGUUAUCGUCACGGCCGGCUGAGUCUGCUGCCUCCAGGCUCUGCUGAUCUAAAGGUCUUAGUUCCACAGAGAGGAAUGCUUCUAUUGAGUGACACAACAAUGAUUCCAUUGAACUGGAAGCUGAGACUGUCAUCUUGCCACUAUGGGCUCCUUACACCACUGAAUUAACAAGGAAUGGAAGAGU